UUUAUUGCUGUCAAAUUUUAUUGUUCAGACUGACAUACAACUGAACAGGACUUUAAAGGGUUAGGGCACUGUAUUCUAGUGCAGUUCCAGCUGAUUUAAAUCAGGAAGUUGCAGCACCCCUGAUUCCCCAACCUGUUGUUUCCCCAACUCUUGCAGUUUCCCAAGCACCAGUUGCACCAGAGGCAAACAUGGGAGCUACAUGACUGCAGUCAGAAGAUGGGAGCCCGACAUCCCUACUAUGGCCAGUUUAAAUUCUGGUGGAGACACUUCCUGUGAGCAUGUUCAAAUACAGCUAAAUGCAACAGAGGAGAAGGAUGUCCAACCUGCAAGGGCAAUAUUAGGUACCCAAGCAAUUAUGGGGAGAUUUAAUUUCAACUCUGUUUUCAUCUGUGGUGCUUCAUUCAGGAAAGAUAUACCCACAACCAUAGAAAUGUGUAGUGUGAAAAGAUAAUAGAUAGGACAAUGUAGAUGGGAUAAAAUAGCUUGAUGCUUUUACAACGAGCCUUAGAAGCUGAAUUCUCAGAGCCUGAGACAGCAGCUGCUGAGCAAGUGUCAUCCUCUCAGGCACUUGGUGUGAAAAGUCCCAGGUUUAAUCAGCCUUUUAACAUGAUAGGCAUGGAAAAAGUUGUUUGUAACCACAAGGACCACUUGCAGAGUGAUGCUUUUGCUGUGCAGACCCCCAGUUCCUUCCCUUGUUCCUUUCCCCAGUAAUACCCAGCCACUGACCGGGACACACAGCGCUUCCUGCCUCACUCCUUGGCCUUGGAGAGUUGCAAAACCAUCUAGGAAAACCAUCAGGAAAUUCCUAAGUGUUGUCACAGAGGCCCAAAUAAAACAUUUCUG
rnacentral:lncRNA from 12 species